CUUAUUCUCCCCUUACACCGCAGGCAGUGGUAGAGGUUACACUGAGUGCUGUGACUCAUGCUGUUGCUGUUUGCUUUCACACCCUCUGAAGCCCCUGUUCCCCUCCUCGCCUGUGGUGGCGCUGUACUAACAACCACUGAAGAAAACAACACAAAAACCUCUGAGUGCAACUUCCUUCUUCAUGAAAUCUAAACAAAAAUGGAGUGGCAGCAGAUUUUAUUGGCUGCAGGGUUUCUAUUUUAUCUUUG